UAUUAAAUUUUAAUAGGUUUUAUUCCUCUCCCUCUCCUCUCUUAAUCUAACCUAGCUUCCUCUUUUUCUAGUGAUUAGAAUGGGUUAAAAUUUUCCCUUUCAAUUGCAAAAUUUAGCCAUCCUGAACCAUACUUCAUCAUCUCAAUUCCCUCUCUUCGUUACAAAGGAUCAAAUUUUUGUGGAGAAUUUUCUUGUCCUCUUUGUAUUUCUCUCAACCCUCACUUUCGGAAUAUUUAAUCAGGUGAUAGAAAAAGUUAUCGGAACUAAACCUUUGAACCAUGAAGGAAAAUUAAGAAAGUCUUGGGUUUUACACAAUAGUAGAGGCUCUCUGCUCAAGCACAAAGGGUUUCUAGAAGUUAUUAAGGUUUAAAACAAGGUAAACUUCAACUAUGUCCAUCCCUGUUGCAACAUUUACUUGGACAGUUGGCAAGCAACCUGGUAAAAGUUGAAUUUCAAGGGAUGGGCAAUAUUGAGCAUCAGCAGUUAAGUACACAAAAUGCCCACAACCAAGAUAAAUGGAUGUAUUUGAACAGAAUGAUGUUUUGUGAGAAAAUCAUAUAAUUUUCAUAUCUAUCAAAAAAAGCUUCGCUUCAUACCUCGCUGCAUUUGUUCUUAUGGAUGCUUUAUUUGAUUUUGAUGCUUUCUAAGAACAGCUGCUACAAAUUUGUUUUUUUUUUUCCCUUUUGCUAUGGUAUAUUCGUUAUACUCUUGAAUGAUGGCAACGUUGCCAGAAUUUUUUAAGGUAGUAGCUAAAAGAAUCACUUUUAAAUUGCAUUCGUCAUCUACACCUUAAAUGAUAUAUUUCCCUUUUCUCAUUUCUUCUUGAGAUUUUUCUUUUGGCUUUUCUUAAGCUCUUAGUUUAUUUUUUCUUUUUAUUUACUUUGGGUUUUUUUCUUUCCAUACAUCUCACCUAUGAAGUUUAAAAACUUUGUGUUUAGAGCUUUUCCAUUUUAGCUAAUUUGAGAAGGGAAAGGCAAAAAGGUAGGACAAAAGAGACUUGAUAUGAAUAAAAUUUUGUGCUGGCUUAAAGAGAAGUUUUUUCUUUUUCCUAGCAAGGGAAGGGUAGGAUUUAAAAAGUGGGAAGAGGACAUGGGGAUUGGAACUCAGGACUCGUCCGUUGAGGAAUUAUGGCCAAGAAUGUUCUUCAGACAAUAUGCUGAUGCCGUUGAUGUCCAUAAUUUCACAGACAAAGAAAGAUCUUUAGCUCGGUCGCUUUUGAAAAGGUCCAUAGGAAACCUCGUCACUAUUGCUCGUUCUGGAGAAGCUUCUAAGGCUCGUGAGGGUUCUCAUAACUCCCUACAAUGUUAACAGACUUUUCCAUGUUGGAGAAAGACCAUGUCAUCAUCUCCAGGUGUUUCAAUUACAGUAGCCAACCUUUUCCCAAGUCCCUUGACAUACAUUUGCUCACCAGACCGUGGUACAUGCAACCUACUGUCCGUAUUCCCAAUAGAAAGACCAUCAGUAGGCUGAUGAGCUUCAACAAGGGAUGCAAUUGCAGACUCUGCUUUCUUCAGCAACAGAUUGUACUUAUCUGCAUCAGCAUUUUUAAGUUGGUUCUCAAAUUCAUGCACUAUAUCUUAAAUUUCCUUCUUCACAACCUUCAAUUCCUGUUGGAUCUGUUGGCUCUCCUUGGUCUCAAGAGCUGUCGCACGCCCUUCAAAGUGAUCUGCCGCAUUUAUUUUCUUCAAUUUAGGAAGGAAAAAUGGAGUAAACAGAAAGUUAUGAAACAAAAGAGGGUGCAAACUGUGAGGUAACAAAGAAGAGUAUUCACCACUUUCCACCCCUUUUAAAAGUUGAAGUGAAACAAAAGGGGAAAAAUACUCUUGUACAUAAUAUGAUGUACUCACCUAUAUGUAAUAGCAUGUAGUGUAUAAAUAAAACACACUUAUAUAAAUGGAUACAUGUAUAGGUUAAGAAAUUAAAAUAAAAAAUGAUAGAUAUCAUGGGAAACAGAAGUUGCCAAGAAGAGAGAAAAGCCAUUCCUUGCCCACCAAUAUGAGCGAACACGUUACACUAGUGCUGUAUGCAAGUGCUUCAGCUUUCUGUGCAACUUAUGUGACGAUAAACAUAAAUGAAGGAAGCAGACUAGAUAUGGUAAUCAGGGACUGCAAUAAAAUAGGAGAAAAACAUUUUCAUUGCAUAUUGUCUCAUAACAAUUAUCUCUUUCCUCAAAGAUUAAAUAUUUACAAUCAUGCAACUUAUGCAUACCUCAUAAUAAAUGCUCAUAAUAUCCGAGUGAAGAGAUGCAGCUUUAUUUGCUUGAAUUUCUAAUCUACUUCUUUCUUCCAGUAGUCACUGGUGCAGCAAAUCUUUCUGCAUCUGUACCUUCUGUGGGGUCAACUUGUUUAUCCAUGCUUGGGCACAGUUAAUUAUCUUCUCAUCAAAGCCAAUUCUUUUAGCAAUGUUUAUGCCAUUGGAUUCUUUUAGCAAUGAAGCCUGUCAUAGUCCAGUCCACAUUCACCAAUUGCUGCCACCUUACAAAAAUUAAAUUGUCGCAUUAAGAAAAUUGAGGAAGAUACACGUAUCUAAAGUAAUCUUUUCUAUGUUCUUCUAAAUGCAGCACUUUAGUUUACCUUUCCUUUCUCAACCCCCUCUUUAGUCAAUAAGAGAAGAGACUGAAAAUGCUUUUCAGGAUCCCCACUCUGAUCAAAUUCCUGAAUCGAUCACAAAUGUAUCCAUUCAUCCUUAUUCUCACACAUUCAAUAACUUAAGGAUGGCAUUCAGAAGAGUAUCAACAGUCACUUUGCAUCUUGUUGGGUGCACAUCAAGCAUGCAAAAAAGUCUUGCUGCAAGGGAAAAUGGAUUGCCAAGAAUAUAGGGUAUAAGGCGCCAAGCGAGAGACAAAUGGCAGAGAAAGAUGAAAAAUCUAACGAAGGAAAACGUGUCUGGCUAACCAUCAGUUUCAGCAAUAGCAAGAGCUUCUUUUGAUUCCUCUAGAAAUCCACCAGUAACCUAGGACAGAAAACGCAAGACAACUAAAGAAUCAUUUAGCAUGAUUAAUCCCGAUUACAGAAGGCAAAUAACCAACCUUACCAACAAGAAAUAAACCUCUCAGUUCUGUUACUCCAAUAAAAUGGAAUGAAUUACAAAUCAGCAAAUUUUACAAGCUCAUCCAUCCUCUAUGAUAUUAAAACAAGAGGUUGAACUUCUCCAAAAGUGGAACUUCAAAAGACCCAAAGUUCAUAUUCUCUCAAUUUAUUGAGCAAGCCAAACUAUCAAACAGCCUGAGUUAAUAAUACCAUCUAUCUAACUACAAAUAGAGUUUCAUUUUGUGGGACCGCUGAUACUCCUUUUCCAACCCCUGAAAAAAAAAAGAAAAAAAA